rnacentral:piRNA from 1 species
UGCAGAAGUCACGGGGCGAGGUGG